rnacentral:lncRNA from 1 species
AGAAGUAGAAGUGCAAACAACCUCCUUCCUUUCGAUCCCGAAAUUUAGUAAACACUUCACAAAUUGAGGAGGGAGGUGGACGCUAGAGCCAAAUAUGAAAGAGAGUUGAACAUAGUAGUUUAUCCAUAGCGAAUUGAGACGGCAUGUAAUGAGGAACGAGCGGUGAUUGAAGCCGAACGGCCCAAUGUGGCUAAUACGACUCAGGCUAUUGUGAAGCCUGACAUAACUGGGCACUUUGAGUUGAAGCAAUACAUGGUGCUGCUGAUCCAAAAUGCAGGGCUGUUCAUGGGUUUGCCUCAUGAAGACCCACAGUGGUACAUCCAGAAUUUCUUGGAAAUUACGGAUACAUACAACUAUCCGAACGUUUCCAAGGACUAUGUCACACUGACAUUCUUCUCUUUUUCACUGAUUGGGGACGCUAAGGAGUGGUUGAAUGAGAAGCCAGAUUUUUCCACACCAGAAAGACAAAGGUGUUGAGGAGUCAGAUUCUUAGGUUCGAACAACGAGCUGGCGAGACACUUCGUCAAGCAUGGGAAAGAUACAGGAAGAUGCUCAGGGAUUGUCCUCAUCAUUGUCAGAAAGACGAGGUGUUGGGUCAAAGAUGAACCUAGACUCAGCUUGUGGGGGUAGUUUCAUGGCCAGACCAUACAGUGAAAUCCAAACCUUUCUGAAUACUUUCACAGCUAAUGAUAACAACUGGCAGGGUGAGGGUGAUUCACGAAGGGCAGUUAAGCAGAAAUCAGCUGGAGUACUUGAACUAGACGAUGUUUCAGCCAUGAGAGAUGAAUUAGCAAAGAUUUCCAAUCAGAUGUCUUGAACGGCAAUGCAACCACCACAACCAAUGAAAUAUGUACACCAAAUGGCUAUUUGCUGCGAGUUAUGUGGUGAAAAUCAUAUGAGAGACAUGUGCCUCACCAAUCCAGAAUCAAUCUAUUAUGUGGGGCAACAACACAGAGGGCCACCAAAGCAGCAAGCACAGUAUGCGAAUUCUUACAAUCCGAGUUGGAGAAAUCAUCCCAACUUCUCAUGGGGUGGAAAUCAGCCAAAUCAAAAUCAGAACAGACCUCAAGGGGGUUUCAACCAGCCUCAGAAGCCACCACAGCAAAUGAAAGAAAGCACCACCAAUUUGUUAAAGAAGUUGUUGAGUGGAACUCAACAGAUAAUGACUUAAAAUCAACAGAUGAAGACUGACAAUAAGCAACUCCGAAUUGACUUCAGAAAAUCUUGAGAGGCAGCUGGGACAAUUGGCCACUAAUCAAAACACUAGACCUGCAGGCGCCCUCCCCAGUGACACAGAAAAGAAUCUACAAGUGAAUGUUGUUACACUUCGAAACGGGAGAGAGCUUGAGGAAUUACCAAAGAAAAUGAGAGAUAAGCCUGCGCCUGUGGGAGAGUUGAUCCCUAAAGUGACAAAUGAGCCAAAGACGGGUGAUGAAAUUCCAGAGCCAGUGAAGGCCCCAAGGCCACCACCAGCUUUCCCCCGGAGAUUGCAAAAGAAAAAUGAUGAUCGUAUGUUCAGAAAAUUCCUCUCCAUGUUGAGCCAGGUUCAAUUGAAUAUACCAUUGGUUGAUGUGCUUCGCGAAAUUCCAAAAUAUGCUAAGUACAUAAAGGACAUAAUGGCUCAUACGAGGAGGCUGACUGAGUUUGAGACAGUUUCACUUACUGAGGAGUGCACGUCCAGGGUCCAAAAUAAGCUUUCUCAAAAGCUUAAAGAUCCUGGCAGCUUUAUGAUCCCUGUACGCAUUGGUAAUAUUGAUGUUGGCCGUGCUCUUUGUGAUUUGGGGGAAAGAAUAAAUCUGAUGCCCCUGUCUUUGUUCAAACAAUUGGGUUUUGGCGCCCCCAGACCCACUAUUGUGAUGUUGCAACUGGAUGACAUGUUAAAAGAACACUCUGAAGGGGUGAUUGAAGAUGCAUUACUGCAGAUUGGGAAAUUUAUCUUCCCUACAGAUUUCAUUAUCCUCGAUUAUGAGGCUGAUGAGAUGGUCCCAAUCAUAUUGGGGUGACCUUUCUUGGCUACUGGUGACACCAUUAUCAAGUUGAGAGAGGGAAAGAUGAUCUUGAGGGUAGAAGACGAGGAAGCAGUUUUCAAUGUUUACAAAGCAAUUCAGCUUCCCUGUCGUUAUGAGGAGCUCUCCGUGAUAUCUUUUGUAGAGGAUGAUGAGCAAAUUUAUGACCCAAGUGUUUAUCUAGACGAUUCUCUAGAGAAAGCACUCAUGUAGUAGUUUGGGGGUUGAUUUUCCCUGUCAUUAUGAGGAGCUCUCCAUGAUAUAUGUUGUUCAAGAUGAUGAGCAAAUUUAUGACCCAAGUGUUUAUCUAGAUGAUUCUCUAGAUAAAGCACUCAUGAUGUUUGAUAGUUUGGGGGUUGAUGAGGAGGUAGAAGAGAUGAUGCAUAUCCUUGAUACAUCAUGUGCAUACACGAGGGGGACAUACCCGUUUGAACCCUUGGACAGGUCAGAGGGACCUCCUCCAAAGCCGUCGAUAGAAGAAGCACCAAAAUUGGAGCUUAAACCGCUCCCAUAUCACCUACAAUAUUCUUACUUGGGUGAAUCUGACACCCUACCUGUUAUUGUUUCUUCUGACUUGUCUAAAUUGUAGGAGGAAAAGAUGUUAAGAGUGCUACACGAGCACAAGCAUGCACUUGGAUAGACUAUGUCUGACAUCAAGGGCAUUAGUCUAGCCUUUUACAUGCACAAAAUUCUCAUGGAGGAGGGACAUAAGCCCAGUGUUGAGCAACAACGCCUACUCAAUCCGAUCAUGAAAGAGGUGGUAAGAAAAGAAGUGAUUAAGUGGCUUGAUGCAGGUAUUGUAUUUCCC